rnacentral:rRNA from 1 species
UCAGUCGACUCCUACGGGGAGGCAGCAGUGGGGAAUAUUGCACAAUGGGGGAAACCCUGAUGCAGCCAUGCCGCGUGUGUGAAGAAGGCCUUCGGGUUGUAAAGCACUUUCAGUAGGGAGGAAGGUAGUGUAGUUAACACCUGCACUAUUUGACGUUACCUACAGAAGAAGCACCGGCUAACUCCGUGCCAGCAGCCGCGGUAAUACGGAGGGUGCGAGCGUUAAUCGGAAUUACUGGGCGUAAAGCGCAUGCAGGCGGCCUGUUAAGUCAGAUGUGAAAGCCCGGGGCUUAACCUCGGAAUUGCAUUUGAAACUGGCAGGCUAGAGUCUUGUAGAGGGGGGUAGGAAUUUCAGGUGUAGCGGUGAAAUGCGUAGAGAUCUGAAGGAAUACCAGUGGCGAAGGCGGCCCCCUGGACAAAGACUGACGCUCAGAUGCCGAAAGCGUGGGGACGCAAACAGGAUUAGACUACCCCUGGUAG